AGAUUGAACGCUGGCGGCAUGCCUUACACAUGCAAGUCGAACGGCAGCGCGGGAGCAAUCCUGGUGGCGAGUGGCGAACGGGGUGAGUAAUACAUCGGAACGUGCCCAGUAGUGGGGGAUAACCCGGCGAAAGCCGGACUAAUACCGCAUACGACCUAUGGGUGAAAGCGAGGGGAUCGCAAGACCUUGCGCUAUCGGAGCGGCCGAUGUCAGAUUAGCUUGUUGGACGGGGUAAAAGCCCACCAAGGCGACGAUCUGUAGCUGGUCUGAGAGGACGACCAGCCACACUGGGACUGAGACACGGCCCAGACUCCUACGGGAGGCAGUCGAGUGGGGAAUUUUGGGACAAGUGGGCGCAAGCCUGAAUCCAGGCCAUGGCCGCGUGCGGGAAGAAGGCCUUCGGGUUGUAAACGCUUUUGUCGAAGGAAGAAACGCGUACCGGGUUAAUACCGU
rnacentral:rRNA from 1 species